GAUGAACGCUGGCGGCGUGCCUAAUACAUGCAAGUCGAGCGAACAGACGAGGAGCUUGCUCCUCUGACGUUAGCGGCGGACGGGUGAGUAACACGUGGAUAACCUACCUAUAAGACUGGGAUAACUUCGGGAAACCGGAGCUAAUACCGGAUAAUAUAUUGAACCGCAUGGUUCAAUAGUGAAAGACGGUUUUGCUGUCACUUAUAGAUGGAUCCGCGCCGCAUUAGCUAGUUGGUAAGGUAACGGCUUACCAAGGCAACGAUGCGUAGACGACCUGAGAGGGUGAUCGGCCACACUGGAACUGGGACACGGUCCAGACUCCUACGGGAGGCAGCAGUAGGGAAUCUUCCGCAAUGGGCGAAAGCUUGACGGAGCAACGCCGCGUGAGUGAUGAAGGUCUUCGGAUCGUAAAACUCUGUUAUUAGGGAAGAACAAAUGUGUAAGUAACUAUGCACGUCUUGACGGUACCUAAUCAGAAAGCCACGGCUAACUACGUG
rnacentral:rRNA from 1 species